rnacentral:pre_miRNA from 1 species
GAAAUACUCCCUCCGUCCGGAAAUACUUGUCAUCAAAAUGGAUAAAAGGAAAUGUAUCUAGACAUAUUUUAGUUUUAGAUACAUCUCUUUUUAUCCAUUUUGAUGACAAGUAUUUUCGGACGGAGGGAGUAGAAA